CAUGCAAGUCGAACGAACUCUGGUAUUGAUUGGUGCUUGCAUCAUGAUUUACAUUUGAGUGAGUGGCGAACUGGUGAGUAACACGUGGGAAACCUGCCCAGAAGCGGGGGAUAACACCUGGAAACAGAUGCUAAUACCGCAUAACAACUUGGACCGCAUGGUCCGAGUUUGAAAGAUGGCUUCGGCUAUCACUUUUGGAUGGUCCCGCGGCGUAUUAGCUAGAUGGUGGGGUAACGGCUCACCAUGGCAAUGAUACGUAGCCGACCUGAGAGGGUAAUCGGCCACAUUGGGACUGAGACACGGCCCAAACUCCUACGGGAGGCAGCAGUAGGGAAUCUUCCACAAUGGACGAAAGUCUGAUGGAGCAACGCCGCGUGAGUGAAGAAGGGUUUCGGCUCGUAAAACUCUGUUGUUAAAGAAGAACAUAUCUGAGAGUAACUGUUCAGGUAUUGACGGUAUUUAACCAGAAAGCCACGGCUAACUACGUGCCAGCAGCCGCGGUAAUACGUAGGUGGCAAGCGUUGUCCGGAUUUAUUGGGCGUAAAGCGAGCGCAGGCGGUUUUUUAAGUCUGAUGUGAAAGCCUUCGGCUCAACCGAAGAAGUGCAUCGGAAACUGGGAAACUUGAGUGCAGAAGAGGACAGUGGAACUCCAUGUGUAGCGGUGAAAUGCGUAGAUAUAUGGAAGAACACCAGUGGCGAAGGCGGCUGUCUGGUCUGUAACUGACGCUGAGGCUCGAAAGUAUGGGUAGCAAACAGGAUUAGAUACCCUGGUAGUCCAUACCGUAAACGAUGAAUGCUAAGUGUUGGAGGGUUUCCGCCCUUCAGUGCUGCAGCUAACGCAUUAAGCAUUCCGCCUGGGGAGUACGGCCGCAAGGCUGAAUAGAAAAAAUUUUUGGGGGGGGGG
rnacentral:rRNA from 1 species